GAAAUGCGAUAAGUAAUGUGAAUUGCAGAAUUCAGUGAAUCAUCGAAUCUUUGAACGCACAUUGCGCCCAUUAGUAUUCUAGUGGGCAUGCCUGUUCGAGCGUCAUUUCAACCCUCAAGCCCUAGCUGCUUGGUGUUGGGAGUUUACCUGCGGGUAACUCCUCAAAUGCAUCGGCGGAGUCGCGGUGACCCCAAGCGUAGUAAUUUUUCCUCGCUUUCGGAGUGUCGGCGCUGGCGUUCGGCCGUUAAACCCCCUAUUUUCUAGUGGUUGACCUCGGAUCAGGUAGGAAUACCCGCUGAACUUAA
rnacentral:misc_RNA from 1 species